AUGCAAGUCGAGCGGACAGAUGGGAGCUUGCUCCCUGAUGUUAGCGGCGGACGGGUGAGUAACACGUGGGUAACCUGCCUGUAAGACUGGGAUAACUCCGGGAAACCGGGGCUAAUACCGGAUGGUUGUUUGAACCGCAUGGUUCAAACAUAAAAGGUGGCUUCGGCUACCACUUACAGAUGGACCCGCGGCGCAUUAGCUAGUUGGUGAGGUAACGGCUCACCAAGGCAACGAUGCGUAGCCGACCUGAGAGGGUGAUCGGCCACACUGGGACUGAGACACGGCCCAGACUCCUACGGGAGGCAGCAGUAGGGAAUCUUCCGCAAUGGACGAAAGUCUGACGGAGCAACGCCGCGUGAGUGAUGAAGGUUUUCGGAUCGUAAAGCUCUGUUGUUAGGGAAGAACAAGUACCGUUCGAAUAGGGCGGUACCUUGACGGUACCUAACCAGAAAGCCACGGCUAACUACGUGCCAGCAGCCGCGGUAAUACGUAGGUGGCAAGCGUUGUCCGGAAUUAUUGGGCGUAAAGGGCCUCGCAAGCCGGUUUCCUUUAANNCNUGANUNUNGNAAAGCCCCCCCGGGCUCCAACCNGGGNGANGGGNUCCAAUUNGNUAAAACUUGNNGCNANCUUUGANAUGUUAAAAAANACNUANAAAUUGGNAAAUNNUCACCCUUUGUAANCUCGNUUUAAACC
rnacentral:rRNA from 1 species